rnacentral:pre_miRNA from 1 species
AGUAGAAUUGCUAGGUUGUAUGGUAAGCUUAUGUUUAACUUUGUAAGUAUCUUUCAAACUGUUUUCCAAAGUGGCUGUACCAUUUGCAUUCCCACCAGCAGU